GGAGAGUUGGCUGAGUGGUCGAAAGCGCUCCCCUGCUAAGGGAGUAUACCCAUAUCCGGGUAUCGAGGGUUCGAAUCCCUCACUCUCCGCCA
rnacentral:tRNA from 1 species